rnacentral:rRNA from 1 species
ACAGAGGUGGCAAGCGUUGUUCGGAAUUACUGGGCUUAAAGGGCGCGUAGGUGGUGGCAUAAGUCCGAGGUGGAAGGCUAAGGCUUAACCUUAGAAUUGCCUUGGAAACUGUAUCACUUGAGUCAGCGAGGGGAUGGCGGAAUUCCAGGUGUAGCGGUGAAAUGCGUAGAUAUCUGGAGGAAGGCCGGUGGCGAAGGCGGCCAUCUGGCGCUGAACUGACACUGAGGCGCGAAAGCGUGGGGAGCAAACAGGAUUAGAUACCCUGGUAGUCCACGCCCUAAACGGUGGGUACUAGGUGUAGGGCUCGCAAGGGUUCUGUGCCGUAGGGAAACCAUUAAGUACCCCGCCUGGGGAGUACGGCCGCAAGGUUG